rnacentral:rRNA from 1 species
CUUGCUACUUUGCUGUCGAGCGGCGGACGGGUGAGUAAUGCCUAGAUAUCUGCCUAGUCGUGGGGGAUAACAGUUGGAAACGACUGCUAAUACCGCAUACGCCCUACGGGGGAAAGGAGGGGACCUUCGGGCCUUUCGCGAUUAGAUGAGUCUAGGUGGGAUUAGCUAGUAGGUGAGGUAAUGGCUCACCUAGGCGACGAUCCCUAGCUGUUCUGAGAGGAUGAUCAGCCACACUGGGACUGAGACACGGCCCAGACUCCUACGGGAGGCAGCAGUGGGGAAUAUUGCACAAUGGGCGAAAGCCUGAUGCAGCCAUGCCGCGUGUGUGAAGAAGGCCUUCGGGUUGUAAAGCACUUUCAGCGAGGAGGAAAGGUUAACGGUUAAUAACCGUUAGCUGUGACGUUACUCGCAGAAGAAGCACCGGCUAACUUCGUGCCAGCAGCCGCGGUAAUACGAGGGGUGCAAGCGUUAAUCGGAAUUACUGGGCGUAAAGCGUACGCAGGCGGUUUGUUAAGCCAGAUGUGAAAGCCCCGGGCUCAACCUGGGAAUUGCAUUUGGAACUGG